UGAGGAAUAUUGGGCAAUGGAGGCAACUCUGACCCAGCCAUGCCGCGUGCAGGAAGACUGCCCUAUGGGUUGUAAACUGCUUUUAUACAGGAAGAAACACUCCCUCGUGAGGGAGCUUGACGGUACUGUAAGA
rnacentral:rRNA from 1 species